GGCGGCCGCUGGCACCCGGCCACGCGGCUCACCGGCGCGCGCUCCCCGGCUCAGGAGGCUUCAUCCAACCCUGCGUCCAGCCAGCGUGUAGAGGUUGACUGGGGAACCGAACGGGCAGUUUCACACAUGGAUCCUGCUCGCCUGAGCACCGGCACUGCUCCGUCACCAAGCCUGCCCGCCCUCGUGGCCCCUGUCCCUCUCUGUAGCCCUUCCAGACUCACGGGGCACCUGACAUCCCAGGGGAGACGCCAUCAGCGAUGCAGACACUGAGUGUGCGGAUGUGGUCGGCCACCACACGCAGAAGAAACCAAGGCUCAGAGGAACUGAGUGAGACAAGGCCGUGCAACUCAUCAGGAAAUCUGUGAUGACAGCCAGGGGUCCCCAACCCAUGGGCCGCUGACGGCCUGUCAGGAACCAGGCCACGUAGCAGGAGGUGCGCGGCAGGCCCAGCGGCAGGUGAACAGGCAAAGCCUUAUCUCAUUUACAGCCAGCGUUGAUCACUCGCAUUACUGCCUAAGCUCCACCUCCUUUCAGAACAGGCAGGCGCUGGAUUCUCACAGGAGCUUGACCCCUCCUGAUGUACAAUUAUUUCAUCAUACAGUACAGUGUAGUAAUAAUAGAAAUAAAGUGUACGAUAAAUGUAACAAAUCAUCCUGAACCCUCCCCACCAUCUGUGGAAAAAUUUCUUCCAUGAAAUUGGUCCCUGGUGCCAAGAAGGUUGGGGACUGCUGCUCUGCACGAUCUGUUCCUCCUCUACUGUCUUUACGGGGGCAGGGAAGGAGGUGUGAGCAGAGCAGAGCUGGGCUGUUUAGCUCCAAACCUGUCUCCUCCACAAGUAUCCCUAUCUCAAUGAACAGUGCUGUCAUUCCCGUGUCACUCAGAUUGAUAACCUGGGAGCCACUCCUGACGUCUCCCCCACUUCCAGCUACCCAUCAGGGGGUCCUUCUGCUUCCCCCACUAAGAGAUCUCUCAAACCAAACCACUUCUCUACUUCCUCUGCUACCAGCCUAACCCACACCCUACGGUCUCUUGCCUGGACUUAUAAUAGCCUCUUAGUUGGUUUCUCAGGUACUCUUGUCUCCUUCCACACCAUCCUCCAAAUAGCAAUAGGAGUGGCCUUUCAGAGGGCCAGCACACGGUGUGGUGGUGGGCUAAGGUGCUGGAUCCCACAUGGCUGACU